rnacentral:rRNA from 1 species
UCAGUAGCGGCGAGUGAAGCGGCAAAAGCUCAAAUUUGAAAUCUGGCGUGGACCACGCCCGAGUUGUAAUUUGAAGAAGGUAUCUUUGGGCCCGGCUCUUGUCUAUGUUCCUUGGAACAGGACGUCACAGAGGGUGAGAAUCCCGUGCGAUGAGAGACGCGGGCCCGUGUAAAGUUCCUUCGACGAGUCGAGUUGUUUGGGAAUGCAGCUCUAAGUGGGUGGUAAAUUCCAUCUAAAGCUAAAUAUUGGCGAGAGACCGAUAGCGAACAAGUACAGUGAUGGAAAGAUGAAAAGAACUUUGAAAAGAGAGUGAAAAAGUACGUGAAAUUGUUGAAAGGGAAGGGCUUGAGAUCAGACUUGGUAUGGACUUAUGCCGGCCCUACACGGGGACGGCCGCUAAGCUUUUCACCAGGCCAGCAUCGGUUUGUGCGGCAGGACAAGGGCGGAGGAAUGUGGCGCGGCUUGCUGCGUGUUAUAGCCUCUGCCGAUACUGCCUGCGCAGACCGAGGACCGCGGCUCUGCCUAGGAUGCUGGCGUAAUGAUCUUAAGUCGCCCGUCUU